rnacentral:rRNA from 1 species
UACGUAGGGUGCGAGCGUUAAUCGGAAUUACUGGGCGUAAAGCGUGCGCAGGCGGUCCGCAAAGUCUGAUGUGAAAGCCCCGGGCUCAACCUGGGAACUGCAUUGGAAACUAACGGGCUCGAGUGUGGCAGAGGGGGUGGAAUUCCACGUGUAGCAGUGAAAUGCGUAGAGAUGUGGAGGAACACCGAUGGCGAAGGCAGCCCCUGGGCUAACACUGACGCUCAGGCACGAAAGCGUGGGGAGCAAACAGG